UAGUUUAGUGGCGGACGGGUGAGUAACACGUGAGCAACCUGCCUUCGAGAGGGGAAUAACGGCUGGAAACGGUCGCUAAUACCGCAUAACAUACAGGAGGGACAUCCCUUUUGUAUCAAAGAUUUAUCGCUCGAAGAUGGGCUCGCGUCCGAUUAGGUAGUUGGUGAGGUAACGGCCCACCAAGCCGACGAUCGGUAGCCGGACUGAGAGGUUGAACGGCCACAUUGGGACUGAGACACGGCCCAGACUCCUACGGAAGGCAGCAG
rnacentral:rRNA from 1 species